rnacentral:rRNA from 1 species
UACGUAGGGGGCAAGCGUUGUCCGGAAUCAUUGGGCGUAAAGAGCGUGUAGGCGGCUUGGCAAGUCUUGUGUGAAAUCCUGCGGCUCAACCGCAGGCGGUCACAGGAAACUGCCUCGCUAGAGUCCGGAAGAGGAGAGCGGAAUUCCUGGUGUAGCGGUGGAAUGCGCAGAUAUCAGGAAGAACACCCGUGGCGGAAGGCGGCUCUCUGGGACGGUACUGACGCUGAGACGCGAAAGCGUGGGGAGGCGAACAGG